rnacentral:tRNA from 1 species
GCCUCCUUAGCGCAGUAGGCAGCGCGUCAGUCUCAUAAUCUGAAGGAAAGUGUCCGGAGGAGGUG